rnacentral:rRNA from 1 species
AGGACGAACGCUGGCGGCGUGCUUAACACAUGCAAGUCGAACGGUGAUCUCACUUCGGUGGGUGAUCAGUGGCGAACGGGUGAGUAACACGUGGGUAACCUGCCCCUCACUCUGGGAUAACUCCGGGAAACCGGGGCUAAUACCGGAUACGAGCCUUGACCGCAUGGUCGGGGCUGGAAAGUUUUUCGGUGAGGGAUGGACCCGCGGCCUAUCAGCUUGUUGGUGGGGUAAUGGCCUACCAAGGCUUUGACGGGUAGCCGGCCUGAGAGGGCGACCGGCCACACUGGGACUGAGACACGGCCCAGACUCCUACGGGAGGCAGCAGUGGGGAAUAUUGCACAAUGGGCGAAAGCCUGAUGCAGCGACGCCGCGUGAGGGAUGACGGCCUUCGGGUUGUAAACCUCUUUCAGCAGGGACGAAGCGAAAGUGACUGUACCUGCAGAAGAAGCACCGGCUAACUACGUGCCAGCAGCCGC